CCUACGGGCGGCAGCAGUGAGGAAUAUUGGUCAAUGGUCGGGAGACUGAACCAGCCAAGCCGCGUGAAGGAUGAAGGUACAGAGUAUCGUAAACCUCUUUUGUCAGGGAACAAAGUCAGGGACGCGUCCCCGGAUGAGUGUACCUGAAGAAAAAGCAUCGGCUAACUCCGUGCCAGCAGCCGCGGUAAUACGGAGGAUGCGAGCGUUAUCCGGAUUUCUUGGGUUUAAAGGGGGCGCAGGCGGUCUGUUAAGUCAGCGGUGAAAGGCCGGGGCUCAACCCCAGGACCGCAGUUGAAACUGGCAGUCUUGAGUUGGAGAGAGGUAUGCGGAAUGCGCGGUGUAGCGGUGAAAUGCAUAGAUAGCGCGAAGAACUCCGAUUGCGAAGGCAGCAUGCCGGCUCCACACUGACGCUGAGGCACGAAAGCGUGGGUAUCGAACAGGAUUAGAUACCCUAGUAGUC
rnacentral:rRNA from 1 species